CCAGACUCCUACGGGAGGCAGCAGUGGGGGAUAUUGCACAAUGGGGGAAACCCUGAUGCAGCGACGCCGCGUGAGUGAAGAAGUAUUUCGGUAUGUAAAGCUCUAUCAGCAGGGAAGAAAGAAGACGGUACCUGAGUAAGAAGCCCCGGCUAACUACGUGCCAGCAGCCGCGGUAAUACGUAUGGAGCAAGCGUUAUCCGGAAUUACUGGGUGUAAAGGGAGCGUAGGCGGCAAGGCAAGUCUGAUGUGAAAUCCCAGGGCCCAACCCUGGGACUGCAUUGGAAACUGUAUUGCUUGAGUACCGGAGAGGCAGGCGGAAUUCCUAGUGUAGCGGUGAAAUGCGUAGAUAUUAGGAGGAACACCAGUGGCGAAGGCGGCCUGCUGGACGGUAACUGACGCUGAGGCUCGAAAGCGUGGGGAGCAAACAGGAUUAGAUACCCCGGUA
rnacentral:rRNA from 1 species